rnacentral:rRNA from 1 species
UUGCUUCGGCGCGCGCUUCGGCGCCGCCGAGGUCACUUAAACUCUUUGUUUUUAUAAGCAUUUCUGAGUGGCCGAAAGGCAAAAAUACAAAUGAAUCAAAACUUUCAACAACGGAUCUCUUGGUUCUGGCAUCGAUGAAGAACGCAGCGAAAUGCGAUAAGUAAUGUGAAUUGCAGAAUUCAGUGAAUCAUCGAAUCUUUGAACGCACAUUGCGCCCGCCAGCAUUCUGGCGGGCAUGCCUGUUCGAGCGUCAUUUCAACCCUCGAGCCCGACUCUUUUGAGGACGGCUCGGCGUUGGGGGACGGCAGACUCCCCCCGGCAUCUCGCCGGGGACGCCGCCCCCGAAAUUUAGUGGCGGCCCUCCGAGGCGACCUCUGCGUAGUAACUUGUUCUCGCACCGGAAAGCUCAGAGCGGCCACGCCGUAAAACCCCAACUUUUUUCAGGUUGACCUCGAAUCAGGUAGGACUACCCGCUGAACUUAAGCAUAUCAAUAAGCGGAGGAA